CAGCCUCCUUCACCCCAGCAAGCCUUAUAAAUUGCUAAGUGAGCAAGAGGUGCUCCUCCUCUGGCCAACCCUGCAGCUAGUCCUUUAUGGCUGGCCUGUUCCACAAAAUAGCCAGCUGCUGUUGAAGCUGUAUUCCUCUCCAGUGUGAUGGGAUUGGGGGCAUGCCUUUGUCAUUAAAACUUUCAGACUCUGGCCAAACACCUGCAAAUGUAUGGAUUAGUUUGAGUUGUAGUAUAAAUUUUGGCUGUUGUUUCAUUCUUUUCAGAUACUAUUUGUUUUUACCAGAAUCAAUGACACCAAUGAUGGUUCCUUUC